AAUAGAUACCCCCGGUAGUCCACGCCCUAAACGAUGCAUAUUUGGUGUGGGCAGUUCAUUCUGUCCGUGCCGGAGCUAACGCGUUAAAUAUGCCGCCUGGGGAGUACAGUCGCAAGGCUGAAACUCAAAGGAAUUGACGGGGGGCCCGCACAAGCGGUGGAGCAUGUGGUUCAAUUCGACGCAACGCGAAGAACCUUACCUGGGCUCGAACGGCUGGUCAACGGCGGUGGAAACAUCGCUACCCCGCAAGGGGGUCCAGUCGAGGUGCUGCAUGGCUGUCGUCAGCUCGUGUCGUGAGAUGUUGGGUUAAGUCCCGCAACGAGCGCAACCCUUGUCCUGUGUUGCCAUGUCGAAAGUACGGAACUCGCGGGAGACCGCCAGGGGAUAACCUGGAGGAAGGUGGGGAUGACGGUCAAGUCCUCAUGGCCUUUAUGUCCAGGGCUACACACGUGCUACAAUGGACGGUACAAAGCGCAGCGAACUCGCGAGAGGGAGCCAAUCGCAAAAAACCCGUUCUCAGUUCGGAUUGCAGGCUG
rnacentral:rRNA from 1 species